GACGAACGCUGGCGGCGUGCCUAAUACAUGCAAGUCGAACGCACAGUUUAUACCGUAGCUUGCUACACCAUAGACUGUGAGUUGCGAACGGGUGAGUAACGCGUAGGUAACCUGCCUGGUAGCGGGGGAUAACUAUUGGAAACGAUAGCUAAUACCGCAUAAUAUUAAUUAUUGCAUGAUAAUUAAUUGAAAGGUGCAAUUGCACCACUACCAGAUGGACCUGCGUUGUAUUAGCUAGUAGGUGAGGUAACGGCUCACCUAGGCGACGAUACAUAGCCGACCUGAGAGGGUGAUCGGCCACACUGGGACUGAGACACGGCCCAGACUCCUACGGGAGGCAGCAGUAGGGAAUCUUCGGCAAUGGACGAAAGUCUGACCGAGCAACGCCGCGUGAGUGAAGAAGGUUGUCGGAUCGUAAAGCUCUGUUGUAAGAGAAGAACGGGUGUGAGAGUGGAAAGUUCACACUGUGACGGUAUCUUACCAGAAAGGGACGGCUAACUACGUG
rnacentral:rRNA from 1 species